rnacentral:lncRNA from 1 species
ACAGAGUCUAGAAUCUGCUCUCGUCUUCCGUCUCUUCUAUUCCAACCGAUGGAGGAGUUUCAGUUCGCCUUCUUCAAACUUUCAACAAUACUCGUAGCUCUUUUCGUCUUCUUAUCUAUCUAUUAGAUUUCAGGCAUUAUUCGCUCAAUCCUUGCUCGCAUCUUCUUUGUUUUCUCUUUGUCUUCUUUUCUUUCUUUGCUACUUUUAGAUCUAUUUAACUGUUUUCAAUUUCAUGGAUAAAUUUCCUUGGAUUUUGUAUUUUCCAACCAGAUGAUGCGGAAUUACCAUUUUAAGGGCUAUUCUCCGUCCAAUUUCAUUGAUGUUGCCUUCUUCUUGCUGAUUCACCUCUAUCUCUUCUUCUUCAUAAGGUAUUGAAAUUUAUUGUUCUACUAACUUAAAACAAAAAGGAUAUUUAAUUUUACUCCUAAUUCAUGUUGUUCUUCCUUUUCUUUACAUUUUUUGUAUAUGUUAUAUUUCUAUGAAUUGUGAAUCGCGAGUAUGUUUUCAGGCUCUUCUUAACUGCCUCUGCGCACACCCCUCACUCUCCAUAGCCGAGGAAAAGAACAGUAAGAACUCAUGAUAACCUAAUUUUGAUAAAGCACUAAAAUUGGUGUAUGGGUUGAGAUUGAAAUAAAGUGAAUGAAUUAAGUCAAAUGGCUAUUGGGAAAAAUUUAUGCAUAUAAAUUUCUAUUGACAGAUUUUAUUCAUUAUUUCAUGUCUUAGGAAUGCUUAAUUAGGCUUAAGAUGAUUUGGGAACUUUUCUUAAAAGUUGUGUUCGAGCAACAUCUGAUUGUUUAAACUUAAAUUCAUUUAUCUGGCUACAAAUUUAUGGAAUAAGGAAGGUAUGUUAAAGGGCAUGUAAUGGGAUUGCUUUAUAUGAUGACUCAUUGUUGUUGAUGGGAUUUGAAAGUAGAGGAAUAUUUAAAAGUAGAGGAGUAGGAAGUAGAGCACCGAGGAUUGAUAAAGAUUGUAUGAAGUUGCAAGACACUAAUGGUCCAGAAAAAGGACGAGAAAAUAGCACAGAUAUCCAAAACUUUAAGAAGCAGACAAGAGGAAUAGAGAUGUAAGGACAUGUAUAAGAGGAUACCUAAGCCAAGGAAGUAGCUUAAUUUUUUUUAUUUUUUUAUUCCUUGUUUAUUGGCAUCCACUGAUACAAUGUGUGUUCAACUAUAAAUUAUAGUUGUUUGUCUUAUUGGAAAUUCUCAUUCACCCAUCUUUAAGCCUAAUUUGUCUUAUUUUCUACUGAUAUGUCCAUGUCUUAUUAUCAACAUAUGUUAUCUUCACCUAUACUUUCUUAUUAUUCUCUACUUUUAUGCAAUUUUAUUAGAAUAUUCUUUAAGUUUGUAUUUUAUUAAGAUAUUUUGUCCAAAAGUAUAAGUGACGGAUGGAUCUUUCCAUCUUGCAUACUUGACUGAUUGAUUCACUUGGUUACUUCUUGACAAUUGGUUUUUUCUCCUGUUAGUUCAGUACCGAAUGCAUAUGGAUUAUCAGGUUUGUAUAUUUAUCAGUGGAAAAUAUUAUUGCAUUCAUAAAUACACUUUGUUUUAACAUAAAUAUAGCAUGUAUUAAAACAUUCUUCCAUGAUGAUUACUUUCAACUUUUACAAAUUAAAACUAUUACAGGAACCUAGAAAAAGGAUUAUUUUCAAGGUCAUGAAAGAGUACUCAAAGGUCCUCCUCCAUCACUUCAAGUGGCAAAGGCUGUGAACUAUUUAACUUGGUACCCUUCUUUUUAUCCAUCAAGGCCUCUACAUGCUGCUCUUUACUUCCUUUUUGGGUGUAAGUUUUUUUUUCUUCAUAUUUAUGUUUAUCAUUGUGAUUAUUGAUGGUAAGGCCCAGCUCUCUUCGCAUUCAGUUUCUUAAAUCAAUUGGUGUGUUUGCUUUUGUGCUUUUAAUUUAUUUCAUCACUUUCAAGUUGUAGUUACAAGUUCAAAGAUCAAUUGAUUUUUUUUUAAUAUUCCGGAACAUAUGAUGACUAAUAGCUUGUUUGGCCAAGCUGCAAAAAUUAACUUAUUUUGAGAAGUGUUUUUUCUCAAAAGUGCUUUUUUCAAAAGUAUUUUUUGGUGAGAAUCAGUUUGUGUUUGGCUAAUUAAUUUGAAAAGCACUUCUGAGCAGCAAUUAGUAUUUGGCCAAGUUUUUAAAAACUGCUUCUAAGUGUAUUUUUCUUAAAAGUGCUUUUCAAAAAAGUGCUUUUGGAGAGAAGCUACUUUUUUCUGCUUCUCCAAAACUGCUUCUGCUUCUCCUCAAAAGCACUUUUCUUUCUUCAAAAAGCUUGGUCAAACACUUUAACUUUGAAAAAAAAGUACUUCUUUUAAAAAGAAAAGUGCUUUUGGCUUUGGAGAAGCUGGGCCAAACAGGCGAUAAGUCUAGCAUUCAAAAACUUUCCUCUUAGUUAGAAAAGGUAGUAUUGUAAUGCAUGAAAUAACUGGUGAUCGAGGAGGUUUUAUAUUCAUACUUUGAAAGUUCUAGCUUUGAUAUUGCCUAUUAUUUGUGGCUACAAGAGUUGCUUUAAUUUUUAUUUGGCUGAAUAGGUAGGGUGAUUUAUGAUACAAUAACAUGUCGUAGUAUGUACACUUUCGGAAAUAAGUACUUCGUAAAAUUGUACUAUUGUUAGGUAUUGAGUUUUAUUUGUGAAUUGAAGUAUAUAACUCUUUCGCACAGUGUAUUAAUACCAUGAGAUAUUUUUCCGUUCUAUGAGUUUAUCUACUAAGAUUAAGGACAAAUAAAAUAAGAAAUCAAGGAUAGUUUUGCAUAAUUAUUGUAGUGUAUUUGGUAACAGUGGCAUGGUAUAACUUUGUUUGUUUCCUUGGUUAUAAGUCUUUGCAAAUUAAAUAUAAUGUACUACAAAUGUAUUUAUAAAAAAGUGCAAUUUAUGCAAAAAGGGUGACAAGAACAAACCAAAAUUUUGAGGAAAAAAAAAAACAUAUUACCUAGGCUGAGUGCCAUUUCAAACAUAAGGUGCUCUUGCAGAUAGAAUAACACAAAAACGUCAUUAUUGUUACUUAGUUGAUCAACCAUUAGAAGUUUGUUGAUUGACCGUUGUUUGGGAAGUUCUAGAAUAAGUACCAUCUUGAGCUAACUAUCUUGAACACAAUUUUAUGUUUGAUUAUAUCUUCUUCAGUAUUUCGUGAACUCUAAAUUAUUUUCAUUGUUGACUCUGGUAGAAAUUGAUUAUUCAUCAAUGGGAGAUUUAAAAGAACCCCAUGACUGAGGUAUGUAUUAGGUCUUGAGCACUACCAGCUUACUCAAUAUAUUUAGAUAUAAAGAAUGUGUUUUAUUGUAAUUGUCUUGAAGAGUUUGUACUUGAAUUAAACUAUCUACUCAGUUUCCUUUCGAUAUUUGACUUAUGGAACUUCAGUUUGAUACUUUAUGUGAUAAAUACAGUCAAUAAAUCAAUCUAUCUAUGUCUUGAAACAGAGAAGAAACUUUUCAAUUAAGGUUUGUGAAGAAAAUGAGAAAAGCAAAGUGGAUCACUUUUUUAUAUUUCCCUUUUCGUGUAUUAGAAAAUUUUAUUAUUGACAAAGACCACACUAAGAUAAUGCUGAGAUGACAUAAAAGAAAUAUUAAUAUCAGUCCAUAUUUAUUCUUGCAGUGAUGACAAAAAAUAUAUCAAUGUAUUUACUUCAUAUCCUUAUAUGUUCUUUAUAACGAAUGAACUUUUUGUGUCACUUAAUAGUCAUAUGAUAUUAAUGUAUCUUUUUCUUUUAUAUGAGGGAAAGUAAAAUGCAUUGACCAACUUUUCUGGACAUCAUUUGCAUUUCACAUAAGUUGUGUCAGCAUUAGCUUAUCAAAGAAAACAUAAGGCUUAGCAUUUUUUCGAUUUUUUCGUUAAUUGUUAGGUGGUUAAAUCUUAAUGAUAGGAAGAUCCUAUACUGUUUUGAUAAAAUAUUAUAUUUGAUGUAUCUUUAGAUUGUAGUAACAGUGUCUUGCUAUAAAAGGCCAUAAUUUGACUCUUGAGUAUAGUAUUUUUCGAGUAGUUUAUUUGUGGUGAUCGCACUUAUCUCUUUAUGUCGUGAUAUUUUUCAAUUCUUGCUAUCAUUUAAUAUUUUCUAUCUCUAAAUAUUUGACUUCUUAUUCUCUACUUGGAAUAGGACAGGUUGUCUGAAGAACACAUAGUAGCAGAUGUAUGAAUGCAAUACACAAAAUAUUUGCCAUACUUUAUGUGGCUCUUAGUUGGACUAUGUUCUCUUUUGUUUAUAGUACAAACACGGAUAGCAACUGAUAUAUUUAGUUGAUCACGUAGCAUAAGAUAGUGGGUAGAAAACGAUGAAGAAAUAAGGCGUACUUGAGCUUGAGUUUGAUUUUGUAAGUAUAUUUAAAGGAAGUUGAAGAAAAGGAAAUAUUUAGCUCAAUUUUGAUAAAUCUAGGGAAG